GGCUGGUCCUACGGCCGUAGCUCUUAUAAUUAUUUGAUCACAGUCAGUUACACAUUUCUUUUUUCUUUCUCCACUCCCACUGCUGCACUUGACUAGUCUUUC
rfam:Anas platyrhynchos breed Pekin duck contig40564, whole genome shotgun sequence.